rnacentral:rRNA from 1 species
AUUGAACGCUGGCGGCAGGCCUAACACAUGCAAGUCGAGCGAGCGGCGGACGGGUGAGUAAUGUCUGGGAAACUGCCUGAUGGAGGGGGAUAACUACUGGAAACGGUAGCUAAUACCGCAUACCAUCAGAUGUGCCCAGAUGGGAUUAGCUAGUCGGGGGGGUAACGGCUCACCUAGGCGACGCUCCCUAGCUGGGCUGAGAGGAUGACCAGCCACACUGGGACUGAGACACGGCCCAUACUCCUACGGGAGUCAGCAGUGGGGAAUUUUGGACAAGGGGGGAAACCCUGAGCCAGCCAUCCCGCGUGGGCGAUGAAGGCCUUCGGGUUGUAAAGCACUUUUGGCAGGAAAGCGGUACCUGCAGAAUAAGCACCGGCUAACUACGUGCCAGCAGCCGCGGUAAUAC